rnacentral:rRNA from 1 species
AUUGAACGCUGGCGGCAGGCCUAACACAUGCAAGUCGGACGGUAGCACAGAGGAGCUUGCUCCUCGGGUGACGAGUGGCGGACGGGUGAGUAAUGUCUGGGGAUCUGCCCGAUAGAGGGGGAUAACCACUGGAAACGGUGGCUAAUACCGCAUAACGUCGCAAGACCAAAGAGGGGGACCUUCCGGCCUCUCACUAUCGGAUGAACCCAGAUGGGAUUAGCUAGUAGGCGGGGUAACGGCCCACCUAGGCGACGAUCCCUAGCUGGUCUGGGAGGAUGACCAGCCACACUGGAAGUGAGACACGGUCCAGACUCCUACGGGAGGCAGCAGUGGGGAAUAUUGCACAAUGGGCGCAAGCCUGAUGCAGCCAUGCCGCGUGUAUGAAGAAGGCCUUCGGGUUGUGAAGUACUUUCAGCGGGGAGGAAGGCGAUGUGGUUAAUAACCGCAUUGAUUGACGUUACCCGCAGAAGAAGCACCGGCUAACUCCGUGCCAGCCGCCGCAGUAA